rnacentral:rRNA from 1 species
GAUGAACGCUGGCGGCGUGCCUAAUACAUGCAAGUCGAGCGAACAGACGAGAGUGCUUGCACUCUCUGACGUUAGCGGCGGACGGGUGAGUAACACGUGGGUAACCUACCUAUAAGACUGGGAUAACUUCGGGAAACCGGAGCUAAUACCGGAUAAUAUUUAGCUUCGCAUGAAGCAAUAGUGAAAGACGGUUCUGCUGUCACUUAUAGAUGGACCCGCGGUGUAUUAGCUAGUUGGUGAGGUAACGGCUCACCAAGGCAACGAUACAUAGCCGACCUGAGAGGGUGAUCGGCCACACUGGGACUGAGACACGGCCCAGACUCCUACGGGAGGCAGCAGUAGGGAAUCUUCCGCAAUGGACGAAAGUCUGACGGAGCAAUGCCGCGUGAGUGAAGAAGGUUUUCGGAUCGUAAAGCUCUGUUGUAAGGGAAGAACAAGUACGUUAGUAACUGAACGUACCUUGACGGUACCUAACCAGAAAGCCACGGCUAACUACGUG